GCCCUCGGCAUGGCACAGUUGCUUCUAGAAUCUGAGUGGUUAGGUCAACUUGCAAGUUGCUCAGACAAAGCUUGGCGAUUUGCUAUCUCAUGUGCGAGAAUCGCAGUUAUCAAGUCAGAAGGAGGAGAGCAAGCAGUGGGUGGGGCUGCCCCCCAGCCAUGCUUUCGCUGGUCCUGGAAGCCCGUGGGGUUCACACCAGCUGGAAGUUCUGUGGGGGUAUCUGGACAGCUGGGGAGGAGUAUGGAGCCCCACAUCUGCGUUUAGACUGGUAGCUGCCACAGGCAUUAGCUUUGCACCUGAGCAAACAGGACUGCUGAGGACAAGAUGAGCUCCUUUGUGCAAGCUGAUUUGGACACUGGGCAUUCCAAUGAAUGGGCAUUUUGCUUUUGAACAUCCAUUACUGGAAGCAGCAAAAAAGUGUAAAUGCUCUGA